rnacentral:rRNA from 1 species
UACGGAGGAUCCAAGCGUUAUCCGGAUUUAUUGGGUUUAAAGGGUGCGUAGGCGGCCUGUUAAGUCAGGGGUGAAAGACGGUAGCUCAACUAUCGCAGUGCCCUUGAUACUGACGGGCUUGAAUGAACUAGAGGUAGGCGGAAUGUGACAAGUAGCGGUGAAAUGCAUAGAUAUGUCACAGAACACCGAUUGCGAAGGCAGCUUACUAUGGUUUUUAUUGACGCUGAGGCACGAAAGCGUGGGGGAUCAAACAGG